AAGGCUUAAAGUCAGCAGCCCAACUCAUUAAGAGAGCGCUAAAGUAUUUUAAACUGCGCGGCAUUGAGAAAACAGAAGAUGCGCUAAAGAAAAUAUAACAAAAAGAAAGUGUGUGUGUGAGCGAUGUUGUGACUGAAGGGGGCAGUAUUUGUUGAUGCCAAAGGAGAGAGGUUCCAAUUUAAAAACACGCAAUAUCAAUUUUAAUUGAUUGCGAAGGACAAAGCAGCUGAAAUCAUGCCAUUUCCUGCCAGGUCUCACAUGGUGGGUGGGAGUUUGAUUCAUCAGCACCUCAAAAGCCUUCACUCCCACGAAAAGAGAUAAGAGAGAUGAUAUAAUCUUAAGCUUCAGGUUCCUAGGACAACUUUUCACAUUCAAUCAAGCAAACUUAUCUCGUUUAGGGCAAAUAUAUCUAGAGACGUGAGCUUUCCGCUUAUGUUCGGACAACCUUCGGGAAAAUUGCCAUGGCCACCAAUGAUCGCCAGAUGUGUUUUCGGAAACGUACAAAUUGAGAAAAAGUCAUGAGUUCUUUUAAGCUUGUUAAUCU